rnacentral:rRNA from 1 species
AAUGUCAUUCAUUUCAUCCUUCUCAAGGCCUGAUCUCAUCAGGUCUCAGAAGCUAAGCAGGGCUGGGGCUGAUUAGUAGUUGAAUGGGAGACCACUGGGAAAAUCAGGUGCCACAGUG